rnacentral:rRNA from 1 species
AGCCUCUAGUUAGAAAAUAGGUGCCCGUACCGCAAACCGACACAGGUAGUCAAGAUGAGAAUUCUAAGGUGAGCGAGCGAACUCUCGUUAAGGAACUCGGCAAAAUGACCCCGUAACUUCGGGAGAAGGGGUGCUUUUUAGGGUGCAAGCCUUGAAGAGCCGCAGUGAAUAGGCCCAAGCGACUGUUUAUCAAAAACACAGGUCUCUGCUAAACCGUAAGGUGAUGUAUAGGGGCUGACGCCUGCCCGGUGCUGGAAGGUUAAGAGGAGUGGUUAGCUUCUGCGAAGCUACGAAUCGAAGCCCCAGUAAACGGCGGCCGUAACUAUAACGGUCCUAAGGUAGCGAAAUUCCUUGUCGGGUAAGUUCCGACCCGCACGAAAGGCGUAACGAUUUGGGCACUGUCUCAACGAGAGACUCGGUGAAAUCAUAGUACCUGUGAAGAUGCAGGUUACCCGCGACAGGACGGAAAGACCCCGUGGAGCUUUACUGUAGCCUGAUAUUGAAAUUUGGCACAGCUUGUACAGGAUAGGUAGGAGCCUUUGAAGCGUGAGCGCUAGCUUACGUGGAGGCGCUGGUGGGAUACUACCCUGGCUGUGUUGACUUUCUAACCCGCACCAUUUGAUCAUGGUGGGAGACAGUGUCAGGCGGGCAGUUUGACUGGGGCGGUCGCCUCCUAAAGAGUAACGGAGGCGCUCAAAGGUUCCCUCAGAAUGGUUGGAAAUCAUUCGCAGAGUGUAAAGGCACAAGGGAGCUUGACUGCGAGACUUACAAGUCGAGCAGGGUCGAAAGACGGACUUAGUGAUCCGGUGGUUCCGCAUGGAAGGGCCAUCGCUCAACGGAUAAAAGCUACCCCGGGGAUAACAGGCUUAUCUCCCCCAAGAGUUCACAUCGACGGGGAGGUUUGGCACCUCGAUGUCGGCUCAUCGCAUCCUGGGGCUGUAGUCGGUCCCAAGGGUUGGGCUGUUCGCCCAUUAAAGCGGUACGCGAGCUGGGUUCAGAACGUCGUGAGACAGUUCGGUCCCUAUCCGUCGUGGGCGUAGGAAAUUUGAGAGGAGCUGUCCUUAGUACGAGAGGACCGGGAUGGACAUACCUCUGGUGUACCAGUUGUCGCGCCAGCGGCAUAGCUGGGUAGCUAUGUAUGGACGGGAUAAGUGCUGAAAGCAUCUAAGCAUGAAGCCCCCCUCAAGAUGAGAUUUCCCAACUUCGGUUAUAAGAUCCCUCAAAGAUGAUGAGGUUAAUAGGUUCGGGGUGUAAGCGCAGUAAUGUGUGUAGCUGACGAAUACUAAUCGAUCGAAGACUU